rnacentral:rRNA from 1 species
UACGUAGGGUGCAAGCGUUAUCCGGAAUUAUUGGGCGUAAAGAGCUCGUAGGCGGUUUGUCGCGUCUGCUGUGAAAACUGGAGGCUCAACCUCCAGCCUGCAGUGGGUACGGGCAAACUAGAGUGCGGUAGGGGAGAUUGGAAUUCCUGGUGUAGCGGUGGAAUGCGCAGAUAUCAGGAGGAACACCGAUGGCGAAGGCAGGAAUCGUCUGG